rnacentral:rRNA from 1 species
CAGCAGCCACGGUAAUACGAAGGGUGCAAGCGUUAAUCGGAAUUACUGGGCGUAAAGCGUGCGUAGGCGGUGAGUUAAGUCUGCUGUGAAAUCCCCGGGCUCAACCUGGGAAUGGCAGUGGAUACUGGCUCGCUAGAGUGUGUCAGAGGAUGGUGGAAUUCCCUGUGUAGCGGUGAAAUGCGUAGAGAUCGGGAGGGACAUCAGUGGCGAAGACGGCCAUCUGGGACAACACUGACGCUGAGGCACGAAAGCGUGGGGAGCAAACAGGAUUAGAUACCCCCGUAGUCCCUGUCUCUUAUAA